ACUGUCGUACGGGUGCGUAACGCGUAUGCAACCUACCUAUCACUGGGGGAUAGCCCGGGGAAACCCGGAUUAAUACCGCAUAAAACAGGGGCACCGCAUGGUGAUAUUUGUUAAAGAUUUAUCGGUGAUAGAUGGGCAUGCGUUCGAUUAGCUAGUUGGCGGGGUAACGGCCCACCAAGGCGACGAUCGAUAGGGGAGCUGAGAGGUUGAUCCCCCACACGGGCACUGAGAUACGGGCCCGACUCCUACGGGAGGCAGCAGUAGGGAAUAUUGGGCAAUGGAUGCAAGUCUGACCCAGCCAUGCCGCGUGCCGGAUGAAGGCCCUCAGGGUUGUAAACGGCUUUUAUUCGGGAAGAAGAGCAGGGAUGCGUCCUUGUGUGACGGUACCGAAUGAAUAAGCACCGGCUAACUCCGUGCCAGCAGCCGCGGUAAUACGGAGGGUGCGAGCGUUGUCCGGAUUUAUUGGGUUUAAAGGGUGCGUAGGUGGCUGUUUAAGUCAGUGGUGAAAUACGGUUGCUCAACAAUCGAGGUGCCAUUGAUACUGAAUAGCUUGAAAUAAUUGGAGGCUGCCGGAAUGGAUGGUGUAGCGGUGAAAUGCAUAGAUAUCAUCCAGAACACCGAUUGCGAAGGCAGGUGGCUACGAUUUGUUUGACACUGAGGCACGAAAGCAUGGGGAGCAAACAGGAUUAGAUACCCUGGUAGUCCAUGCUGUAAACGAUGAGGACUCGCUGUUGGCUUUCAUGAGUCAGCGGCUUAGGGAAACCGUUAAGUCCUCCACCUGGGGAGUACGCCGGCAACGG
rnacentral:rRNA from 1 species